AAAGGGAGACCUAAUUCAGGUAAAAGACGAAAAAAAAGUAGUCGCUACCAAGAAUCAAUCCCAAAAGGUCGGAGCGAGGCGAAAUUGGCUUUCAAACUAGGUUCUGGGUUCAAACAAGACCUGAAUCAGGAACAAGGGCUAUUAGCUCAGGUGGUUAGAGCGCACCCCUGAUAAGGGUGAGGUCCCUGGUUCGAGUCCAGGAUGGCCCACCUGCACAGGUGGCAAAAACAAGAGAAGCGAGGAAUCAGCACCUUAUCUUACUUAUAUAGUAAGAGAGAAUGCUGGCUCCGAGUAAAGAGUCCAGAGGAACCUUGAAAACUGCAUAGAGCUAGGUGAAAAAGCCAAAAAAGAAGACCGCAAG
rnacentral:tRNA from 1 species